rnacentral:tRNA from 1 species
GCCGAAGUGGCGGAACUGGCAGACGCGCUGGCUUCAGGUGCCAGUGGGCUUUACGCUCGUGGGGGUUCGAAUCCCCCCUUCGGCA